rnacentral:tRNA from 1 species
UCCGGGGUAGCUCAAUAGGCGGAGCAGCGCCCUGUUAAGGCGAUGGCUGUGGGUUCGAGUCCCACCCCCGGAG